AGAGUUUGAUCAUGGCUCAGAUUGAACGCUGGCGGCAUGCCUUACACAUGCAAGUCGAACGGCAGCACGGGUGCUUGCACCUGGUGGCGAGUGGCGAACGGGUGAGUAAUAUAUCGGAACGUACCUUAUUGUGGGGGAUAACGCAGCGAAAGCUGUGCUAAUACCGCAUAAUCCCUAAGGGGGAAAGCGGGGGACCGUAAGGCCUCGCGCAAUUAGAGCGGCCGAUACCUGAUUAGCUAGUUGGUGAGGUAAAGGCUCACCAAGGCAACGAUCAGUAGCUGGUCUGAGAGGACGAUCAGCCACACUGGGACUGAGACACGGCCCAGACUCCUACGGGAGGCAGCAGUGGGGAAUUUUGGACAAUGGGGGCAACCCUGAUCCAGCAAUGCCGCGUGAGUGAAGAAGGCCUUCGGGUUGUAAAGCUCUUUUGUCAGGGAAGAAACAGCAGCUCUAACACAGUCUGCGAAUGACGGUACCUGAAGAAUAAGCACCGGCUAACUACGUGCCAGCAGCCGCGGUAAUACGUAGGGUGCAAGCGUUAAUCGGAAUUACUGGGCGUAAAGCGUGCGCAGGCGGUUAUGUAAGACAGGCGUGAAAUCCCCGGGCUUAACCUGGGAAUUGCGCUUGUGACUGCAUAGCUAGAGUAUGUCAGAGGGGGGUAGAAUUCCACGUGUAGCAGUGAAAUGCGUAGAGAUGUGGAGGAAUACCAAUGGCGAAGG
rnacentral:rRNA from 1 species